CGGCUGCUCCAACUCCAACAAUAGCCGAGAUCUCAAGAGCGGCACCGCUGCUGGGACUAGGAGCACUGGCCUGAGAAGGAGGGGAGCUAGCAUCUCCAGGUGAACCUGAGGGGCUGGCACCAGGUGCCGGGGCGGGGGCCGCAGCAGCGGUGGAAACCAAGGCAAAGAGGGCCAUGGUGACCAAAGCAAGAACAACAAUUUGGCGGGCCAUUGAGUUUAUUAG
rnacentral:lncRNA from 1 species